rnacentral:snoRNA from 1 species
CCGCUGCCUUUGAGCCCCCGCGGCGCCUGCACGUGGCCGCAGGGUCUAGCUGCGGCGCCACAGUACGCGCUCAAGUAUAACCCAGGCCACUUGGCCCGCAGCGGGCGACCCCCUUUAACCACGAGCCACAUCG